rnacentral:tRNA from 2 species
GGUGGGAUGCCAGAGUGGUCUAACGGACUCGUUUCGAAAACGAGCGUUCCGCUAACACGGAACCAGAGGUUCGAAUCCUCUUCCCACCGCCA